ACCAUUUCAGAAGGCAGUGUGCUCGCUGAUGAAAAGGCCAUGGUCAUUCUCUUAGGAAAUCUGCUGGGUCUGGCUCUGACAGUCCUCAGCUGCUCCAUAAAUCUUCCAUCAGUUCCAUCCAGCCAAAAAGAUGUCAUCACCGUUUUCUCCUAGCAACAAGGAAUAAAAGGGCCAUCUCCAACAAGACUGUCAGAAAAAUGAGGAACAGAGGCCAAGAUGAUUGGAACAUCCUUUGUGACCCGAGAACCCCUGCUACUGUUCCCAGAGCUCUGCCCCUUGACCCUACUGAGGCUCCAACAGACUGGCACCAGAUAUUUCGCUUCAGUGAUGCACAAGUGAUGACUCCAUCCUCCAUCUGCAGGGCCCAGCAACUUCAACAGAGAGUAUUUGGAAACAAAGUGAGGAGUGCUUGCAGUCUUUCCAGCCUUUCCUCCUGACACUCCCUCAACCCAG
ensembl:lincRNA Gm20468 predicted gene 20468